CACACGUGAUCAAUAUAGCAUUCUCGCGCCUUACGUGUUUUGGUCCUGUCCGUCCCUGAAUGCUUAAGGUAUAAAAGCUCCGCUCUGCCGAAAAGUUCACCAUACUCGUUGUGAACAGUGAGCUGUCAUCUUACCUCGGCGACAUGAAGAGCUUCCUGGUUGUCAUUGCGGCGCUGCUGGUGCUGGCUGCCGUGUGUUGCGUGUCGGUGCAGGCCGCUGCGGUGGCCGAACCGGAGGCUGCGCACCACGGAGGACACCGCGGUGGCGGCGGCCACCAUGGGGGACAUCAUGGCGGCGGAAACUAUGGCGGCGGCCACCAUGGGCACCACGGCUGAGGGGCCUGACUUCACCAUUGUAACUGCAAUUCCUAUGGCGUCAACUGGAUUUCUUCCAGGAGACCUGCAGUGCCAAAGCUGCUUGCUCUGCCAGAUGUCAUAAUGAGUAAAGGCAUCUGUCUGUACAUAUUGUAAACAAUAAACACUUGUUCUUAGUA